rnacentral:rRNA from 1 species
UUUUUGAAUUUAAUAUAAAGUCUAAUCUGCCCACUGAUAAUUUAUUAAAGGGCUGCAGUAUUUUGACUGUACAAAGGUAGCAUAAUCAUUUGUCUCUUAAUUGGUGACUUGUAUGAAAGAUUUGAUGAAAUAUGAACUGUCUCAUUAUAAUAAAUAAAAUUUAAUUUUUUAGUAAAAAAGCUAAAAUAAUUUUAAAAGACGAGAAGACCCUAUAGAGUUUAAUAGUUAUUUUUAUAUAAAAUAAAAUAUAAAAAUUUAAAUUUAAAUGAAAAUAAUUAUUUUGUUGGGGUGAUAGAAAAAUUAAAUUAACUUUUUUUUAAAAAUAAACAUAAAUAAGUGAAUAAAUGAUCCAUUAGUAAUGAUUAUAAGAAAAAAUUACCUUAGGGAUAACAGCGUAAUUUUUUUUUUUAGGCCAAAUAAGAAAAAGAGUUUGCGACCUCGAUGUUGGAUUAAGAUAAAAUUUAAAUGUAAAAGUUUAAAGUUUUGAUCUGUCCGAUCAUUAAAA